UCUGACAUAUUUCGGAAAUGUUCGGCACUUUGAUAUUCAUUCAAUGUUAUCAUAAAUUGCAUUGCUUGUAAACAUAGUAACUUAAUACAGUCACAUAUCUGUUUCAUAUAGUUUUAACAUGAGAUAUUCUAUGGCGACAAUGCUUCGCUUUCCGCUCCUUUUCGGUGGAAUGCUAGUGGCCGGCACAAUAGCAUUUGUUAACAGAGAUAAGUUCAUGACCGAUUUGGAAGAGAAACGUGCGGAACUGCUUCGCGAGGAUGAAGAAUCUAAGCGUUUGCUGCUCGAUUCAAUGGAAUCAAUAAAUAAGUUACGCGCUGCGAAAUACAAUAAAUGAUCAUAACCGCUGUUUUAUUUAGUCUCCAAGCGUCUACAUUAUAUCCAUUCUUCAAUCUUUGCGUAUUCUUGCGACGCGUGGAUCGUCCGGACGCAUCACGACGUAAUCCAUUUUAUAAACGCGAUUAUCCAUGUCGUUACUGUAGUAUCUGACUAGGCCGAUCGCAGUUAAUCCGACUCCAAUUACGGCCAUAACUGAGGAACCAACCACUUCUGGGAUUUCGUUCCAGCCUCUUCUGAAGAGGGCCCGCAAACCUUGGGAUGUUUUUGCGCUUGCAGCCAUCCUGAUUU